UAAAUAUUCCUGUCUGACCGAUAGCGAACGAGUACCGUGAGGGAAAGGUGAAAAGUACCCCGGGAGGGGAGUGAAACAGUCUCUGAAACCAUGCGCCUACGAACCGUCGGGGCCCCCUUGUGGGGUGACGGCGUGCCUAUCGAAAAAUGAGUCUGCGAGUCAGUGGCAUGUGGCGAGCAUAAGCCGUGUGGCGUAUGCGUAGCGAAGGCGAGUCUUAAAAGGCGUUUGAGUCGCGUGUCCUGGACCCGAAGCGGGAUGAUCUAGCCCUGAGCAGGUUGAAGCGCGGGUAAGACCGUGUGGAGGACCGAACCCACCUGGGUUGAAAACCGGGGGGAUGACUUGGGGCUAGGGGUGAAAGGCCAAUCAAAUUCCGUGAUAGCUGGUUCUCUCCGAAAUGCAUUUAGGUGCAGCGUCGGAUCGAUUACAUCCGGGGGGUAGAGCGACUGGAUGCUUGCGGGCCCAUAUCGGGUACCAACAGCAACCAAACUCCGAAUACCCGUGAUGCGUAUCCCGGCAGUGAGUCGGCGGGGGAUAAGCUCCGUCGUCGAAAGGGAAACAGCCCAGAUCGUCGUCUAAGGUCCCCAAGCGUGUGCUAAGUGGGAAAGGAUGUGGAGUCGCAUAGACAGCCAGGAGGUUGGCUCAGAAGCAGCCACCCUUGAAAGAGUGCGUAACAGCUCACUGGUCUAGUGGUUCCGCGCCGACAAUGUAGCGGGGCUCAAGCACACCACCGAAGACGCGGCAGUAGCUUUGCUACUGGGUAGGAGAGCGUCCCAUGCGGGGCGAAGCGGCGGCGCAAGCCCGCCGUGGACUGCAUGGGAGUGAGAAUGCAGACAUGAGUAGCGAAAGACGGGUGAAGAUCCCGUCCGCUGGACGACCAAGGGUUCCAGGGCCACGUUCAUCGUCCCUGGGUGAGUCGGGUCCUAAGGCGAGGCCGACAGGCGUAGUCGAAUGGAUGAACGGGUCGAUAUUCCCGUACCGGCAUGCAACCGACAAAACCGAAUCCGCGAGUACUAACCUCCGGGUCCGGGCUUACGUCUCCUUCGGGAGCCGGAUGCCCUGGCCUGUUGGGACCGUAACGGUAGUAGGUCAGCGCGGGAGUGACGCAGAAGGGUAGCCGGCCGCGGAGGUGGUCUUCCGUGGUCAAGCACGCAGCCCGUCCCACAGGCAAAUCCGUGGGGCGCGUGGGCGAGGUGCGAUGAUGGGCGCCGCAGGGCGCGAUAUCCGGUGAUCCCGGCUGCCGAGAAAAGCUUCGGCGUGAGGCGGCGUGCCGCCCGUACCCCAAACCGACACUGGUGGUCAGGUAGAGAAUACCAAAGCGAUCGAGCGAAUCCUGGUCAAGGAACUCGGCAAAUCACUCCCGUUCCUUCGGUUUAAGGGAGACCCCCGAUGGUGAAGCGGCUUGCCCGUGGAGCUUUUGGGGGUGGCACAGACCAGGGGGUAGCGACUGUUUACCAAAAACACAGGAGCGUGCGAAGGCGCAAGCCGCUGUAUACGCUCUGACGCCUGCCCGGUGCCGGAAGGUUAAGAGGAUCCGUCAGGCUUCGGCCGAAGCGGUGAAUUCAAGCCCCGGUAAACGGCGGUGGUAACUAUAACCAUCCUAAGGUAGCGAAAUUCCUUGUCGGGUAAGUUCCGACCUGCACGAAUGGCGUAACGACUUCCCCACUGUCUCGACCAGGAGCUCGGCGAAAUUGCAGUACGAGUAAAGAUGCUCGUUAAGCGCAGAAGGACGAAAAGACCCCGGGACCUUUACUAUACCUUGGUAUUGGCAUUCGGUGUGGAUUGUGUAGCAUAGGCGGAAGGCUUCGAAGCCACGGCGCCAGCCGCGGUGGAGCCGCAAGGUGAAAUACCGCUCUGUUCGCAUUGGAUGUCUAACCUCGACCAGUCAUCCUGGUCAGGGACAGUGCCUGGCGGGUAGUUUAACUGGGGCGGUUGCCUCCCAAAGAGUAACGGAGGCGCUCAAAGGUUCCCUCAGCCCGGUUGGCAAUCGGGUGGCGAGUGUAAGUGCACAAGGGAGCUUGACUGCGAGACUGACGGGUCGAGCAGGGACGAAAGUCGGAACUAGUGAUCCGGUGCCGGUGUACGGACGCGGCAUCGCUCAACGGAUAAAAGGUACCCCGGGGAUAACAGGCUGAUCAUUCCCAAGAGUCCAUAUCGACGGGAUGGUUUGGCA
rnacentral:rRNA from 1 species